rnacentral:tRNA from 1 species
GGAGGGAUGCCCGAGUGGCCAAAGGGAGCAGACUGUAAAUCUGCCGGCACUUGCCUACAGUGGUUCGAAUCCACUUCCCUCCACCA